UCUGAGUGUUCUCUCAAGGACCAGAAAAUAACAGCUAAUGCCAAAGUCUUGAUUUUGCCAACUAUGUCAUUAUCUCCUUCAAUCUCUCUCUCUCUCUCUCUGUCUUUUUACCAUAUCUAGAAUCAUAACCGUCUCAAGGUCAUAAUUGUUUCACACUGCCUCAGUGCCUGUCACUCCCUAAUUUAUUCGUGCACUUCUUCUACUUUUUUCAAAUUCAAAAGCCUCCAUUUCCCUCUCCUCUCCCAAUUUCCUCUUGUCUACUGUUUUUUUUCUUGAAAAGAGGAUAGAGCAUUUUCGUAACUGUCAAAAAAAAAUAAAAUAAAAAAAUGUCCACACCAUUGACUAUGACCAGGCUUGUUAGAUGGAGAGUGAGGGACUGGGCGUCCUGUUUCUUGGCUUGCAGGUUUUCUUUAGAUGAUGAACAGGAAACGUUUCCCAAUUCAUCAUCUAAACUGCCAAUCAGAAACAUGGUUUUUGGCGUGAAAAAAGACAAUACUAGAGGUGGCAAUAAAAGAAACAAAAAAUUAUCGAAAAAAAAUAAAAAAUUCAGACAGGUAAAUCCUGGUUCAACACAGGCUACUGUUGACAGUAGUGUUUCAGUGCAAAAUUGUAAUAGCAGGGACUCAUGCCGGCCCCACUUGCAAGAUGAGGAAUACAUUGUUUUUUGUUUUGGAGAGGAUGGUGGUUUUGAUGUUGUGAAAGAAUGCAAGUCGCCAGAAACAUUUCUUCAUUUCACUGCUAAUAAUACAAGUCCAAGGUCUGUCAAUCGAAAGGUGAGCACUGGGCAACCAUUUCUUCAUUUUCUGUUCUGCAAAGCUUCACUGUGUAGAGGUUUCAGAAACAGUUAGGAAGAGCAGCCAUCAGAGGAAGUCAAUUGUUGUAAAUGGACAUGAGACAGAGAUGAAUCCUGUCAAAAACGAGGAGGAAGCAGCUGACAGCCAUUCGGGUCUAGACCCACCUUGUAAUGCUAGAACAAGGUGGUGCCAUAUCGGAGAGAUUGACAAUUGCGGGACGGUAUCUGCUAAAUCUAGUGACUCAAAUCAAUCAGAUGGAAGCAGUACAGGAUCUUUUUCCUUUCCAGUAAUGCAUUGGGAGUUGAUAGGCAGUCCUGUGCAAAUGCCAAAAUCAGAGAGCCUUCAUGCAAGGAAGCACAAGCCCCCCUGUGCUCGUUUUCAAUGUUGUAGAUUCUGAAACUUGUCCUCCCUCUCCCUCUCAGUUUUUCUUCUUCUGGAUAUACUACUAGGUCUACAUUAAAUAAUUAUUAUUAAUUCUCGAUUUUCUUAAUCACAGUAGCUAUCAAUGCUUGCAUGCGAGGACUUGGUUCAUUUGUAUUUGAUUAAGUAUUUGGAGAGGUUUUUGUAAGCACCAAAGUUGAGGAUCAACUAGAGUUUCCCAUCUAAUUGUGAGGAA